rnacentral:rRNA from 1 species
UGGGGAAUAUUGCACAAUGGGCGCAAGCCUGAUGCAGCCAUGCCGCGUGUAUGAAGAAGGCCUUCGGGUUGUAAAGUACUUUCAGCGGGGAGGAAGGGAGUAAAGUUAAUACCUUUGCUCAUUGACGUUACCCGCAGAAGAAGCACCGGCUAACUCCGUGCCAGCAGCCGCGGUAAUACGGAGGGUGCAAGCGUUAAUCGGAAUUACUGGGCGUAAAGCGCACGCAGGCGGUUUGUUAAGUCAGAUGUGAAAUCCCCGGGCUCAACCUGGGAACUGCAUCUGAUACUGGCAAGCUUGAGUCUCGUAGAGGGGGGUAGAAUUCCAGGUGUAGCGAUGAAAUGUGUAGAGAUCUGGAGGAAUACCGGUGGCGAAGGCGGCCCCCUGGACGAAGACUGACGCUCAGGUGCGAAAGCGUGGGGAGCAAACAGG